AUUGAACGCUGGCGGCAUGCUUUACACAUGCAAGUCGAACGGCAGCACGAAAGAGCUUGCUCUUUUGGUGGCGCGUGGCGAACGGGCGUGUAACGCAUCGGAACGUACCGAGUCACGGGGGAUACCUGUCCGAAAGGAUAGCUAAUACCGCAUACGCUUUGAGAAGGAAAGUGGGGGCUCUUCGGUCCUCACGUUAUUCGAGCGGCCGAUGUCUGAUUAGCUAGUUGGUGGGGUAAAGGCCUACCAAGGCGACGAUCAGUAGCGGGUCUGAGAGGAUGAACCGCCACACUGGGACUGAGACACGGCCCGGACUCCUACGGGAGGCAGCAGUGGGGAAUUUUGGACAAUGAGCGCAAGCCUGAUCCAGCCAGGCCGGGUGUGUGAAGAAGGCCUUCGGGUUGUAAAGGACUUUUGUUAGGGAAGAAAAGGAUAGGGUUAAUGCCAUUAUCUGCUGACGGUACCUAGAGAAUAAGCACCGGCUAACUACGUG
rnacentral:rRNA from 1 species